CUGUUGAUUUUGAUUUUUGGGUAUAUUGAUAUGAAUCUUGGACUAAUUAUUUUAACAUUGUCUUUAAUUCAAUACAAUAUUAUCACUGUAGAUAAUAAAAUCUGUAAAAUAAAACAAAAUAAUUACUUAAAUUAUUUAAAUGAAGUUGUAGAUCAUAUGUGUACUCAAAAUGGAUGGAAGUCUAUGGAAAACUUAUACUUAAACAUUGAUCCGAUGGGAAAUAUAAAUGUUCCAGAUUUAAUAGGACGACAAUUGGACAGAAGUAAUUUGAUUAUUACUUUCUAUAAUAUUGUUCAUAUUUUAAACUACAAUUAUAACGAAGUACUUCUAAUAUUCGUUAAAUUGUUAAACGUUAUUGUUGAUAAAUGUAAACACUUUUUGGACGCCGAAUUAUUAGACAAUUUUUUUAAUUGUACUAAAGCACUCCAAAAAUCAGUAAAAGAUUCAUUGACAAUGUUUGAGAAUUUAUAUAAUGCUAUUACAUUCAUAAGAUAUAUAGACCUAAACUUGAAAAAUCUAAAAGUUGAUGAGUUACAAAUUUAUCUGUUUACCACAGAUGACGAUAUUUAUCAGAUAAAAAACCACAAAUUUUUUAAAAACGUACAAGACGAGAAAUCCUAUGAUUAUCAUCAAGUCUUUCUUGAUGUUAGUGAUUUCAUUGUUAAUAUAUCUAAAAUUGCAAAUAAUUUUUUUGAGAAAUAUAAAUUUAUUCAAAAUAUUUAUGGGAAUGAUGAUUGCAAAAUGAUAUGUGAAAUAGAAUAUUCAUCUCAUUCGAUAGAUUCACCGGAUUUUAUUUCAUUCAUGUAUCAAAAGGUCAAUUCGUUUUACACUGAAACCAUAAAGAAUAAUUACGAGGAUCUUGGAUUUAUUCAAUUGAUAAAUCCAACAAUUGAUAAAUUUAAACCUCCUAUAGACCAAACUAUUAAUCAAGAAGUUGGUAUCAUGUCACUCAAUAUUAUACUUAGUGAGGGUAGUUGGAGUUCAUUUAACCACAUAGAAAUACAAUAUGACGAUUUGAAAAUAUGUGCUUCGCGUAUUUUUAGAGACCUGGUGACAGAUCAUAAUUUUCAUCUUAAAAAAAAUUACUUCGCUCAAAUGGUGAGAUGCAGAUUUUAUGAAGUGCUUUUAAUUUACAAUACAUCAUUAUCUGCUUUGAAAAUAAUGUGUGAUAAUGAAAAAUUUAAAACUAUUCCAAAACAUUAUGUGAACUGUGUAACAUUUCUUUUUGACGUUAUUAAUGAUACAGUUAAAAUGUUUGAUUUCAUGCUGACAAUUUUAGAAAAAAUGAAGCUAUCAGCAAUUUGGCCAACCACUUCAUCAUAUUCUAAUCUAAUUUCAACUCAUAAAUUGAUACGUAAUUAUGUUAUUAAUCUAAAAACUCUUAAUGUAGUACGAGAUAUGUUUGUAAACAAACCUGGAGUACUUAUUGAAAAAAUAGCUGAUUUUUACGUUAAAAGUUUUAUAAAAGCAAGAUACGAGUUUAAUAAUAUGCUAUGUGCUUUUAAAUAUCAAAUAAAAAAUCACUGUUUUUCAGAUGGCUUAAUUGUGACUACGAAAGAUCUGAUAAUUAAAUUUAAAAAUACUGCAUCUUUUAUUAAUGAAACAAUGUCAAAUGAUUCUCGUGUCUCCGAUUAUGAACUUAUUUCGAUAUAUUUAUAUGAGUUCUGUGAACAGUUUAUUAAAACUUUUUGCUUAGAUACAGGUUUUCAUAAAAUACAUGAAAAUUAUAUUUGGACAUGGAAAUAAUUCUUUUUUGUAUUACAAAGUUAAAAAUAUAACAUUUAUAUGAUCGAAAUACGUGUUUUAUGUUAAAUUAGAGCAUAAUUUCUGGUAUAUGAAGUAGGACCUGACACGACUUACGUCGCAAUAAUGUAGUCGACACUGGUUUUGUGGGUAUAGACCUGUGGGCCGUUAUUAAUAAGCAACAACAGGUUAUUUGAAAAAAAAAAACAAACCCAAAAGACGAACACAGUUAAUAAAAAUCUUUUCUUAAUAUCGCGGUACCUUCGUUGGCGUUGGCGACGCGGUGUCCGACAUGAUCCUCGGGCGUCAAAAGGUUAGCAAUAUUGAAGGAGAUUGUGCGCGGGUGUGAUUCGGUUCGUCGAGUCCGGUCCUGCGGCACGUCCGGAGCUGGUGGCGUACAUCCUCGACGUUGUCACUAUCAUAGUUAAACGCAUAUACAUUUUAUUAUGUUCAUUUUGACAACGGGAAGAAGACUCAACGUAUCUUUUGCGGCGGGCCGUCGUCGGCUGUAUGGUAUUUGCUGGACUCUGCACUGUGGCGUAUGGCACGCGUUGUUGGUCAGUCAAAUACCCAUAGUAGGGCGACGGCUGAUAAAGGUGGUACGAGUCGCGGGGCAUCGUGUAUCACGAAUCGACACGUGUCAGACCUCUUCUAUCAUAAUAAGUUUAAUGUAAUUUUAAGUAAAUUCUUCAGAAAGC